UCUCUGUGCUCAGUGCCUCUCGCGCUCCGUUUCUGAUCGCCGUUGUUCGCGUAGUAGCAACAGUUGCUGGCGCUUUUGAAAUGGGACUAGCAGGCUAGGGUGUGGGGUGACUCUUAACAGUGCUUCCUUAAUUUCUGGAUAUUGACUGAAGUAAUUAUUGAAAGCAUUGUUUCAGUAGGGCAUCGCUGCUAUGUGCACUGAUGUGUGGCAUGCUCCCAUACUGCGUCUGUAGUCGGUUAAGAAAGCAUACCCUAGAAGGCCCUGACUUGCCACUUUGAUAAGAACGUGGACAAUCCCAAAGCAGAUGUUUUAAAGACGUGAAGAAGCCUAGCAGAGGCUCUCAGAAGAAUGGUUCUCAGGACUACUGAUGUAAGAUCCAUGCAACAUCCUGUUUUCUGUUUCCUGCUCACCUUCAGCCUCAUCAACCCUUAGCCUUCUGUAUAAUUCCUAUGGAGGUGUAAAGAAUAAAAAUGUACUCUGGAGCAAAUUUUGAAAACUUUCAUUUU